rnacentral:rRNA from 1 species
UACGUAGGGGGCGAGUGUUGUCCGGAAUCAUUGGGCGUAAAGCGCGUGUAGGCGGUCCGGUAAGUCCGCUGUGAAAGUCGGGGGCUCAACCCUCGGAUGCCGGUGGAUACUGUCGGGCUUGAGUACGGAAGAGGCGAGUGGAAUUCCUGGUGUAGCGGUGAAAUGCGCAGAUAUCAGGAGGAACACCAAUUGCGAAGGCAGCUCGCUGGGACGUUACUGACGCUGAGACGCGAAAGCGUGGGGAGCAAACAGG